rnacentral:tRNA from 1 species
CGCUGGUGAAGCUAAAAUGGGAAUAAGCGUUAGCCUUUUAAGCUAAAAUUUGGUAACCCCCAACUACCCGCAGCGA